UACGGAGAGGACAAGUGUUAUUCGUCGUGACUGGGUGUAAAGGGUGUGUAGAUGGUUAUUUAAGUUUUAAAUAAAAAAUUAAAUGAAAAUUUAAAAUAUUUUUAAUACUAAAUAACUUGAGUAUAUUAGAAAAUAAUUGUAUUUUAAGUGUAAAGGUGAAAUUUUUUAAUAUUUAAAAGACGAACAAGAGGUGAAAACGAUUACUUAUAUAAUACUGACAUUGAGGCACAAAAGUAUAGGUAGCAAACGGG
rnacentral:rRNA from 1 species